AGUGAACGCUGGCGGUAGGCCUAACACAUGCAAGUCGAACGGCAGCGCAGUAAGAUCUUGCUCUUAUGGGUGGCGAGUGGCGGACGGGUGAGGCAUACAUCGGAAUCUACUUUUUCGGGGGGGAUAUCGUAGGGCAACUUAUGCUAAUACCGCAUACGACCUACGGUUGAAAGCAGGGGAUCUUCGUACCUUUCCCGAUUGAAUGAGUCGCUUUCCGAUUAGCUAGUUGGCGGGGUAAAGGCCCACCAAGCCGACCGACCGCAGCUGGUCGGCCGGGUGGGCGGCCCCAAUGGGAAUGGGGACCGGGUCAAGACUCCUACGGAAGGCAGCGGAGGGGAAUAUUGGACAUUGGGCGCAAGCCUGCUCAAGACAUACCGCGUAGGUAAAGAAGGCCUCCGGGUUUUAAAGCCCUUUUGUUGGGAAAGAAAAGCAGCAGGUUGAUACCCCGCUGUUCUGACGGUACCCAAAGAAUAAGCACCGGCUAACUUCGUG
rnacentral:rRNA from 1 species